AUACCCACCCUAAUUCGCAGACCAAUUACAAAAUUUCAUCCAACAAAUUCGUAUUUACAAAAGAAUUAGCAGCAGGGCCGAUAUUUAGAUUGUUAAGGGUUUGGUUAUUGUUGACAAAAAUCAAAAUAUAUUCCCAAAUUCCCAAAUAAAAUUGGGAAAAUUGCAGAAAAAUAAUUUCUAUUUCACGAGAAGGAACACAAUUCCAUAAUUUGCAUAAUCAUUAACCAAAUUUCACGAAAACAGGUUAGUCCAAUUGCGCAAAAAACCAACCACACAUGAUUCUGCCAUUCGUUACCAAGAAAAACUAAAGUAGCUCGAUUGAAAUUUCAGAACAGGAUCCAAAUAAGCCUUAAUCAAGCACACAUAAUUGAACCCAAUCUCGACAAAAUAGAAUUCUAGCACCACAAAUUCACUAAUCAAAAGCACGAGUAAAAACCUAAUAUAUCAAAAGCAAAAUUCAUCUUAUGAAUUAGAAAACAAACCUUUAAUUGAUGAUCAGUGGAGCACGUAAACUGCACAAUAAUAGAGAUUCAGCGCACGAAAUAGCAAUGUUAUUAGGGUAAAUUUGAUAUUUUUUAUGAAGAGAAGUAAAGAGAAGAGUAUGUACUGAACCGCCGAACAUAUUUUCAAUAAAGGAAUAAGGAGUGAUAGUUCUUGUUUUUUGGCGGCAACAACUUUAUUAUACUAAUGGUUUUUUUUUAAUUCUUUCUUAAUAAAUCCUUAACUAUUAUAAAAGUGGGAAAUGCAUCUACUGUUCUUAGUAACAGUGACUUAUGGGGAUAUUACAUUACCACCCCCAAAAUUAAUGAAUUCCCGAAUUUGCCCUUCUUGGGGUUUGAUUGAAAUUUUGUGUGCCACGUGUAAAGCAGAACCCCCAACAUUAAUGGUUUUCCUUUCCAUUGAAUUGAAUUUGGUGUGCCAUGUGUAGAGCUCUGUACAAAUGUUCUACUAUUCGAAGUAAAUGCCCAAAUCGGCACCAACAAAUCCUCAAAUCUCAACCACACUUCAAAUGACCUCCUAUAAUGAACAGUUAGACCUUCAUUGGCUGAUGAGGUUUGGUUUGGGGUCUUGUCUUUUGGCGGCUGAUGAGGUGUUUGGAAGGAAAUUUCCUUUGGCUGACUCUAUGUCUGAAAAUGGUUGGUUUGCUGAUAGUAUUUUGCGUUCUGUUUCUACUCGAGUCCAGUUUAUUGUGUUGAAUGUACAGUGCUUGUUGAGUUUCUAUAUAUCUAAGUUAAGGCAGGCUUUGGGAGAUUUGAUUGUAAUCCAACCAUAACAGGCAAUCCAAUUAGAGCAGGUUUUUCCUUGAGUUGUUACAAUGGGUACUAUCUGAAUUUGAAUCAUACAUAGCUUAAUGCAUUUUGCAUCCUGUCUUUUAUGACCUAGGGCUACUUUUAUCUGCUAUAUGAUAGAUUGUCGUUAUGGUCUACCUCAGCUAUCCCGCAAGAGUUGUAGUAGGUUGAAUCAGGCCACACAAAGGUCGUCCCAAUCAGCAUUUGCUAGAUAACCAGUAUCAAGAUGUUCAAUUUUGUCAAAUUCGGACAACAAAAAAACGCAAGUGUAUACAGGAACUAGCUACAACACAUGAAAAUGGGUACAAUGUGACAACUUUUAAGACUGUUCCUAUAUGUAUUGUUACUUUUACUAGCUUCUGGGUAUUGAUUAGAUGUCUGUCCUAUUUAAUUGUACAUCUUUACAAUUAUUUUUGCCAGAGUUUCUUGCUGCUUGGAAUUGAUUUGCAUCCUUAGAAUCACAUGUGAAACCAUACUAAAUCAAUGCCUUGUUUGUUAGUAGUCAGUGUCACGGUGUUGGUUCAAGGCAGUCACGAGUCACUAGAAAGGUCUGUUGCCCUUAAGGGUUGGCUCAGUCACGUGUGAAUAGUGAAUUGGAGUCAAGAAUGUCUAGCUCUUGUAAAAAAGCUACUACACAGCGUCAUGCAGAAAAUCUUCUUGGUGCAGCUACAGAUCAUGAGCUACCGACAGCGCCUUUCAGACUUUUGCCGCCUAGUCACUGUCCUAAAUGCGGUGCAAAAACAUUUAUGUCUGAGCCCCUGCACUUCUACUGUGGGAAUGGAGAUAUUGAAAUAGCUUCAAAUGAGUACCCUCCGGAACUUGUGUACUUAUUCACUUCUAAGGACGAAAUUGCUGUCCACUUUCGAACAUAUGCUAGAUUAUACAACAAUCUAUUUGCAUACAGUUCUCUUGGGGGUCUUUUUGAUGCACACAGCUACAAAGGCAUUUCUGUGUUCAAAUUGCAUGGACAAAUGUAUCACUAUGUUCCAAAUUUAUUUCCGACUGAUGAUAGUCCUAAAUACCUGCAGCUAUACUUCUAUGAUGGACAACGUGAAGCAAAAAAGAGGUUGGGUUUUUUUCCAGAAGUAAGAGAUCGAAGACGUGAUAAACAUCCUUAUGUAUGUAUCACAACAAAAUCCAUAUGCUGUGUUUUUUCGGUCUCUAAGAGAAAGAGCAAUUAAUGCGGGCACAAAAAUUGUUCUUAAUAAAAACCCAAUACUAGAUCAGCGUGUUUAUAAUGCUCUUGCUGUUGAUGAUGUUACUGUAAUAUGGCCAGAGAAUGCUUCAUCUAGCCAAAGCUCAGGCCCUCAUAUAAUGGUAACUGGAAGAUCUAAUAAAUCUUACAGAAUCUAUCAUAAUUAUGGUUGAUAUGACCCACUUCAGUACCGAUUGUUAUUUCCUCGAGGAGAAUGUGGCUGGACCCAAGGUCUUAAAAAAGUGUCUCACAAAAGCAGGCGAGCAGCAGAUUCAAUUCCAGAUCCUAUAAUGUCCUGUGCUAUUCAUACGGCUGAAGACUUUUUGAAUCAAGAAGAAACACGUGCAAAGAGAAAGAAAGCAGACAAGUUUAUUUCUCCUAGAGAAUAUUAUGCUUAUAAGUUGCAAAUUCGCCCUAACAACAUGUUACUGCGAGCAGGUCGAUGUUUUCAGCAAUACAUAGUCGAUAUGUAUGUGAAGAUUGAAAAUACGAGACUUGAUUAUUUUCGAAACAAUCAGGAAACAAUUAGGGCUGAUCUAUAUAAAGUAAUUUUGGAUUCACUUGAUUCUGGAGAAACUGUUGCGUAUAAUGUUGGUCGUAGAGUGGUUCUACCUACGACUUAUAUUGGGGGUCCUCGAGAUAUGAAGAAGCGGUACUUAAAUGCUAUGGCUUUAGUACAAAGAUUUGGUAAGCUAGAUUUUUUUGUGACAGUUACAUGUAAUGUUAAUUGGCCGGAGAUAAAAGCCGAGCUAGCUUCUGGUGAGACACCACAAGACAGACCUGAUUUAGUUGCUAGAAUUUUAAUUUUAGAGCAAAAUUACUUGCCCUGAAAAAAGAAAUCAUGGAAAAAAAAGGUAUUUUUUGAGAAGUUGCUGCCAUGGUAUAUGCAGUUGAGUUUCAGAAAAGAGAUUUACCACAUGCUCAUUUUUUAAUUAUUCUAAAACCUGAAUA